rnacentral:miRNA from 1 species
CAGGUGCUCACUCAGCUAAUA